GGGGUGAUGGCCUACCAAGCGACGACGGGUAGCCGGCCUGAGAGGUGAUCGGCCACAUUGGGACUGAGAUACGGCCCAGACUCCUACGGGAGGCAGCAGUGGGGAAUAUUGCACAAUGGGCGGAAGCCUGAUGCAGCGACGCCGCGUGAGGGAUGACGGCCUUCGGGUUGUAAACCUCUUUCAGCAGGGACGAAGCGUAAGUGACGGUACCUGCAGAAGAAGCACCGGCUAACUAUGUGCCAGCAGCCGCGGUAAUACGUAGGGUGCGAGCGUUGUCCGGAAUUACUGGGCGUAAAGAGCUCGUAGGCGGUUUGUCACGUCGUCUGUGAAAUCCUAGGGCUUAACCCUGGACGUGCAGGCGAUACGGGCUGACUUGAGUACUACAGGGGAGACUGGAAUUUCUGGUGUAGCGGUGGAAUGCACAGAUAUCAGGAAGAACACCGAUGGCGAAGGCAGGUCUCUGGGUAGUAACUGACGCUGAGGAGCGAAAGCAUGGGUAGCGAACAGGAUUAGAUACCCUGGUAGUCCACGCCGUAAACGGUGGGCACUAG
rnacentral:rRNA from 1 species